GAUGAACGCUGGCGGCGUGCCUAAUACAUGCAAGUCGAGCGAACGGACGAGAAGCUUGCUUCUCUGAUGUUAGCGGCGGACGGGUGAGUAACACGUGGAUAACCUACCUAUAAGACUGGGAUAACUUCGGGAGACCGGAGCUAAUACCGGAUAAUAUUUUGAACCGCAUGGUUCAAAAGUGAAAGACGGUCUUGCUGUCACUUAUAGAUGGAUCCGCGCUGCACUAGCUAGUUGGUAAGGUAACGGCUUACCAAGGCAACGAUGCAUAGCCGACCUGAGAGGGUGAUCGGCCACACUGGAACUGAGACACGGUCCAGACUCCUACGGGAGGCAGCAGUAGGGAAUCUUCCGCAAUGGGCGAAAGCCUGACGGAGCAACGCCGCGUGAGUGAUGAAGGUCUUCGGAUCGUAAAACUCUGUUAUUAGGGAAGAACAUAUGUGUAAGUAACUGUGCACAUCUUGACGGUACCUAAUCAGAAAGCCACGGCUAACUACGUG
rnacentral:rRNA from 1 species